GACAGAGGGUACAAACGUUGCUCGGAACCACUGGGCGUAAAGGGUGCGUAGGCGGCUUUGUAAGUCAGUGGUGAAAUAUGGCAGCUCAACUGUCAGGGUGCCAUUGAUACUGCAGAGCUUGAGUACAGAUGAGGUAGGCGGAAUUGACGGUGUAGCGGUGAAAUGCUUAGAUAUCGUCAAGAACACCGAUAGCGAAGGCAGCUUACUGGGCUGUAACUGACGCUGAGGCACGAAAAGUGUGGGGAUCAAACAGG
rnacentral:rRNA from 1 species